ACGAAAAAAAAAAAUUUCCAUCGCCCAAUGAAAAACGGGGCGUUUUGGAGUCAGGGGAACCACCCGCGCUCUUCUUCCAGUUUCGGGGUUGUUCGUCUUGAGGUUUACGGGCUGAUCUAAAUUCAAAGAAAAAUGCCUUUGCCUAAUACUGAAUGAAAAAUAUGCUGUCUUCAGAACAAGUAGCAGUUGCAGCUGAACCAUUCUCUACAUAACUGAACCUGAAAAACUCUCUUCCCAACAAGAUGACAAUAAUGAAAAUUGUAAUGUUGUGGUAUGGUAUGUCAAAUAGAUUUCUAUAUGGGAUACAAAAGUUAAAAGUAUUAAAAAGCUAUUCCCAAAGAUAUGCAACUGUACAAGAAAAAAAUGGGUGGUUGACAAGUAUUUCCUUUGGCAAAAAAUGUAUGUUGACACAAAAAAUGUAAGAAAAUUGAACGAUUGCUAUGUAUGGUCUUUUGCAUGGCAAUCCACUUAUUUGCAUUUGUAUUUGAUAUUAUAUGGCUCUCUUUUCUACAUGCACCCUAUUCAGAUGCAGGUCUCAAUGUGCAAAAUAUAGAAUGAAUGAACUUUUUUUCACAAUCUCUAAAUGAGGACAUCUGUUAUUGACAAGUGAUUUCAAAAGCUACAUGCUAUGUGAAUUCAUUUUUUUAUCUAACAUCAAUGAAUAGUAUCCAUUUUAAAAUAAAUAAGGAAGGUGUUUAAUAA